GACGAACGCUGGCGGCGUGCUUAACACAUGCAAGUCGAACGGAAAGGCCCUGCUUUUGUGGGGUGCUCGAGUGGCGAACGGGUGAGUAACACGUGAGUAACCUGCCCUUGACUUUGGGAUAACUUCAGGAAACUGGGGCUAAUACCGGAUAGGAGCUCCUGCUGCAUGGUGGGGGUUGGAAAGUUUCGGCGGUUGGGGAUGGACUCGCGGCUUAUCAGCUUGUUGGUGGGGUAGUGGCUUACCAAGGCUUUGACGGGUAGCCGGCCUGAGAGGGUGACCGGGCACAUUGGGACUGAGAUACGGCCCAGACUCCUACGGGAGGCAGCGGUGGGGAAUAUUGCACAAUGGGCGGAAGCCUGAUGCAGCAACGCCGCGUGCGGGAUGACGGCCUUCGGGUUGUAAACCGCUUUCGCCUGUGACGAAGCGUGAGUGACGGUAAUGGGUAAAGAAGCACCGGCUAACUACGUG
rnacentral:rRNA from 1 species